UUUGUAACCACUGGCCAAGUAGUCACAGAAUGAUCAAUCUGUCUAUUGAUUUUCUUGCAGGGUGUGCAAACUAUGUGCUACUUCAGCAAGAACUGGAGACGUGUCGUCAAGAAAAUGAGAGACUGCAAGCAGGGUGUGCAAACUAUGUGCUACUUCAGCAAGAACUGGAGACGUGUCGUCAAGAAAAUGAGAGACUGCAAGCAGAGCUACGUAAUCGUGACGGGAUGGAUUUGUAAAGGAAGACACACAAAUGGAAUGGAUUGCACAGAUAAAUGGAAUAAGUAACAGAUUCAAAUGAAAUGUUUCACUUUUAAGAUUUAAUAAAGAUUUGAUAUGCCUA